CAACUCGACUCCAUGAAGCUGGAUUCGCUAGUAAUCGCGCAUCAGCCAUGGCGCGGUGAAUACGUUCCCGGGCCUUGUACACACCGCCCGUCAAGCCAUGGGAGUCGGGAGUGCCUGAAGUUCGUGACCGUCACAGGAGCGACCUAAGGCAAGACCGAUGACUGGGGCUAAGUCGUAACAAGGUACC
rnacentral:rRNA from 1 species